GUCACGCUGUAAACGAUGUCGAUUUGGAGUUUGGGGGCAUGACCCUUGGGCUCCGGAGCUAACGCGUUAAAUCGACCGCUGGGGAGUACGGCCGCAGGGUUAAAACUCAAAUGAAUUGACGGGGGCCCGCACAGCGGUGGAGCAUGUGGUUUAAUUCGAUGCAACGCGAAGAACCUUACCUGGUCUUGACAUCCAUAGAAUCUUUCAGAGAUGAGAGAGUGCCUUCGGGAGCUAUGAGACAGGUGCUGCAUGGCUGUCGUCAGCUCGUGUUGUGAAAUGUUGGGUUAAGUCCCGCAACGAGCGCAACCCCUAUCCUUUGUUGCCAGCACGUAAUGGUGGGAACUCAAAGGAGACUGCCGUUGAUAAAGCGGAGGAAGGUGGGGACGACGUCAAGUCAUCAUGGCCCUUACGACCAGGGCUACACACGUGCUACAAUGGCGUAUACAAAGGGAUGCGAAGGUGCGAACUGGAGCGGACCUCACAAAGUACGUCUAAGUCCGGAUUGGAGUCUGCAACUCGACUCCAUGAAGUCGGAAUCGCUAGUAAUCGUGAAUCAGAAUGUCACGGUGAAUACGUUCCCGGGCCUUGUACACACCGCCCGUCACACCAUGGGAGUGGGUUGCACCAGAAGUAGAUAGCUUAACCUUCGGGAGGGCGUUUACCACGGUGUGGUUCAUGACUGGGGUGAAGUCGUAACAAGGUAACCA
rnacentral:rRNA from 1 species